UGGGGAAUUUUGGACAAUGGGCGCAAGCCUGAUCCAGCCAUGCCGCGUGUCUGAAGAAGGCCUUCGGGUUGUAAAGGACUUUUGUCAGGGAAGAAAAGGAUAGGGUUAAUACCCCUGUCUGAUGACGGUACCUGAAGAAUAAGCACCGGCUAACUACGUGCCAGCAGCCGCGGUAAUACGUAGGGUGCGAGCGUUAAUCGGAAUUACUGGGCGUAAAGCGGGCGCAGACGGUUACUUAAGCAGGAUGUGAAAUCCCCGGGCUCAACCUGGGAACUGCGUUCUGAACUGGGUGACUAGAGUGUGUCAGAGGGAGGUAGAAUUCCACGUGUAGCAGUGAAAUGCGUAGAGAUGUGGAGGAAUACCGAUGGCGAAGGCAGCCUCCUGGGAUAACACUGACGUUCAUGCCCGAAAGCGUGGGUAGCAAACAGGAUUAGAUACCCUGGUAGUCCACGCCCUAAACGAUGUCGAUUAGCUGUUGGGCAGCUUGACUGCUUAGUAGCGAAGCUAACGCGUGAAAUCGACCGCCUGGGGAGUACGGUCGCAAGAUUAAA
rnacentral:rRNA from 1 species